rnacentral:rRNA from 1 species
UGGGGAGUAUUGCACAAUGGAGGAAACUCUGAUGCAGCGAUGCCGCGUGAGGGAAGAAGGUUUUCGGAUUGUAAACCUCUGUGGAACGGGACGAUAAUGACGGUACCGUUCAAGGAAGCCACGGCUAACUACGUGCCAGCAGCCGCGGUAAUACGUAGGUGGCGAGCGUUGUCCGGAAUUACUGGGUGUAAAGGGAGCGUAGGCGGGAGAGCAAGUCAGAAGUGAAAAUUAUGGGCUUAACCCAUAACCUGCUUUUGAAACUGUUUUUCUUGAGUGAGUCAGAGGCAAGCGGAAUUCCAAGUGUAGCGGUGAAAUGCGUAGAUAUUUGGAGGAACACCGGUGGCGAAGGCGGCUUGCUGGGGCUUUACUGACGCUGAGGCUCGAAAGCGUGGGGAGCAAACAGGAUUAGAUACC